UAAAAGGGUUAGUUGGCUAAUUAUGCACACUCUCCCUCGUCUGGUGAAUGCCGUAUGGCUAUUAAGACAUAUGACCGACAUAAUUUAUAAAACUUUGUAGGGUUGUCUUGUUUGGCCGACUUUUUU